ACACGCAACAAGAUUUAGUCUGCAUGUUCCCACUGAAGCUAAGCAGGGUUGAGCCUGGUCAGUACCUGGAUGGGAGACCUCCUGGGGGAAACUAAGGUUGCUGCUGGAA
rnacentral:rRNA from 1 species